AUGAAGCUCUGUUGUAAGUCGCUCUGGAUAAGAGCAUCUGCUAAAUACCUUAAA
rfam:Astyanax mexicanus Tnplaced_Scaffold4497, whole genome shotgun sequence.